rnacentral:rRNA from 1 species
UACCUGCAGCUCAAGUAGUGAUCGCUAUUAUUGGGCCUAAAACGUUCGUAGCCGGUUUGGUAAAUGCCUGGGUAAAUAGUGUAGCUUAACUAUACGAAUUCCGGGUAGACUGUCAAACUUGAGACCGGGAGAGGCUAGAGGUACUCCUGGGGUAGAGGUGAAAUUCUGUAAUCCUGAGGGGACCACCAGUGGCGAAGGCGUCUAGCUAGAACGGGUCUGACGGUGAGGAACGAAGCCCUGGGGCGCGAACCGGAUUAGAUACCCGGGUAGUCCAGGGUGUAAACGCUGCUUGCUUGAUGUUAGUUGGGCUCCGAGCCCAAUUAGUGUCGGAGAGAAGUUGUUAAGCAAGCUGCCUGGGAAGUACGAUCGCAAGAUUGAAACUUAAAGGAAUUGGCGGGGGAGCACAGCAACGGGUGGAGCGUGCGGUUU